GUCGAGAAUCUUCCGCAAUGGGCGCAAGCCUGACGGAGCGACACCGCGUGCAGGAUGACGGCCUUAGGGUUGUAAACUGCUGUCACGCUAUAGGAACGGCAUGUCGUUAAUAGCGGCAUGAUUGACUAAAGCGAGAGGAAGUACCGGCUAACUCCGUGCCAGCAGCCGCGGUAAUACGGAGGGUACAAACGUUGUUCGGAAUUACUGGGCAUAAAGAGCACGUAGGCGGCCUACUUAGUCGGAUGUGAAAGCCCUCGGCUCAACCGAGGAACUGCACUCGAAACUGGUAGGCUUGAGGAUGGCAGGGGUAAGUGGAACUCCAGGUGGAACGGUGAAAUGUGUAGAUAUCUGGAGGAACACCGGUGGCGAAAGCGGCUUACUGGGCCAUAUCUGACGCUGAGGUGCGAAAGCUAGGGUAGCGAACGGG
rnacentral:rRNA from 1 species